UCCGAGUUAUCCCCGGCAGUCUCCUACGAGUCCCCGGCAUAAUCCGCUGGCAACAUAGGACAAGGGUUGCGCUCGUUGCGGGACUUAAUCCAACAUCUCACGACACGAGCUGACGACAACCAUGCACCACCUGUGAACCGGCCCCAAAGGGGAAACCACAUUUCUGCGGCGAUCCGGCCCAUGUCAAGCCUUGGUAAGGUUCUUCGCAUUGCAUCGAAUUAAUCCGCAUGCUCCGCCGCUUGUGCGGGCCCCCGUCAAUUCCUUUGAGUUUUAACCUUGCGGCCGUACUCCCCAGGCGGAGAACUUAACGCGUUAGCUGCGCCACUAAAGGAUUAAAAUUCCUCCAACGGCUAGUUCUCAUAGUUUAGGGCGUGGACUAC
rnacentral:misc_RNA from 1 species